rnacentral:rRNA from 1 species
CGGAACGGGCUCAUUACAACAGAAUAAUUUACUUGUUCUUUUUUUAAACGGAUAACUGCGGUAAUUCUGGAGCCAAUACGUGCCCCAAAGCGCGAUUCGCUUGCGAGUCGCGUGCACUUAUCGGAGCAAAACCAAACCUUCGGGUCGGAUGCUAACUCUGGAUAAUACUGCUUAUCGCAUGGCCUCGAGCCGGCGAAACGACAUUCAAGUAUCUGCCCUAUCAAUUAUCGUUGUUAGUGUAUUGGACUAACAAGAUGGUGACGGGUAACGGAGAAUCAGGGUUCGACUCCGGAGAGGCCGCCUUAGAAACGGCGACCAUGUCUAAGGAUAGCAGCAGGCGCGAAAAUUACCCACUGCUCACUCUGAGCGAGGUAGUGACGAGAAAUAACAAAGCCGUUCUCAUUGAGGUCGGCUAUUGGAAUGGGUACAACCUAGACAAUUUAACGAGUAUCAACGAGAGGGCAAGUCUGGUGCCAGCAGCCGCGGUAAUUCCAGCU